rnacentral:rRNA from 1 species
GCGGCAGGCCUAAUACAUGCAAGUCGAGGGGCAGCACGAAUAGCAAUAUUUGGUGGCGACCGGCGCACGGGUGCGUAACACGUAUGUAACUUACCCCUUCACUGGGGAAUAGCCUUCCGAAAGGAAGAUUAAUGUCCCAUAACAUUUCGAAGAGGCAUCUUUUUGAAAUUAAAGCUCCGGCGGUGAAGGAUAGACAUGCGGGACAUUAGCUAGUUGGUGAGGUAAUGGCUCACCAAGGCUACGAUGUCUAGGGGAUCUGAGAGGACUAACCCCCACACUGGUACUGAGUCACGGACCAGACUCCUACGGGAGGCAGCAGUAAGGAAUAUUGGUCAAUGGACGCAAGUCUGAACCAGCCAUGCCGCGUGCAGGAUGAAUGCCCUAUGGGUUGUAAACUGCUUUUGUACGGGAAGAAUAACCUUGACGUGUCAAGGGAUGACGGUACCGUAAGAAUAAGGAUCGGCUAACUCCGUGCCACAGCCGCGGUAAUACGGAGGAUCCAAGCGUUAUCCGGAUUUAUUGGGUUUAAAGGGUGCGUAGCGGGAUAGUAAAUCAAUGGUGAAAGCUCAUAGCUUAACUAUGGAAUUGCCAUUGAUCUGCUAACCUUGAGUAUGUUUUGAAAUGGGCGGAAUGUCAAUGGUACCGGUGAAAUGCUUAUAUAUUGCACAGAACACCAAUUUGCGAAGGCAGCUNACUAAACCAUACUGACGCUGAGGCACCGAAAGCGUGGGGAUUAAACAGGAUUAAAAACCCUGGU